rnacentral:tRNA from 1 species
GGGCGCAUCCGUCAACGGGAUAGGCGCGGGCCUUCUAAGCCCGGAAUCGGGGUUCGAGUCCUCGUGCGCUCGCCA